rnacentral:lncRNA from 1 species
GGGCACAUUUAUUUGUUUAUUUUAGUGCUUCUAUAUACAAUAAUAGUUCUCUUCUUUUUUUUUAAAGAACUUGCUAGCUGCUGAGAUGACAAAGUAUAUUGUUUUUGAUGCGAAUUUGCUGAAACUAUUUAAUGGAUGCAAAAAGUGGAAACCACUCUCGGCGUUUCUUUUUCUUUUCUUUUUAUGGCUGCCGGCCACUAUGUUAAGGAUUACAAGUGUUAGUGGACAGUUACUUUCCAACUCUUUAUUGACUGACUUCCAAGAAAGUCGUGAA